rnacentral:lncRNA from 1 species
GGCUUCUCAAAGUGCUGGUAUUACAAAUACCUGCAAGAACAAACCCAUUGAGAUGGCUACAGAAUGAGAAGGGAAGCUUUUUCAUGGUGUAAGAAGUAAGAAAAAUUGAUUAGGAAGAACUCUGUGGGUAAGGAGAAAGAAAACCUACUAGGAGACCAUUAUUGCAGUGAAGAGCAUAGAACAAGGCUCUCUGGAAACUUAAGGGAAUCAUAAUAUGCCUGAGAAAACAUAAACAAAAAUUAUCUUAAUGACAAAUAAGUGCUUCGGAAAUAAACAAAGGCCAAAAUCUGUUAGAGAUGGUAGGUAGACAGCUCUCAUAUUUCCGUGGAUUGCAUCCUCAUGAAGGAUUUUCAACUUGUCUUUCAUUUUGAAAUUGAAUAAAUAUUGGAAUGCAUUAUCAUCCACCCUCCCUACAUUCAUCUAUAAAAGGAGACAUGACAGAUGUAAAGUUCCUAUCAAUAUGUGAACAGCAGAGGGAAAAAUGAGGCUGCACCCUGAAUUGAAGUGAUCCUAUCUCUUUAAGCCUCUUUCACACUGGAGAGCUACAGGAAGCCUGAGUUUGAAAUCAUUUGGUCCAGACAGAAGAGGAGAAGCAAGGACCGAGUGUCAUGAAGAGGGAAACAUUGCCAGACUGUCAGAGGUUACCUAAUAUCCUUUGAUGGGUUUCCUCCUGUUUCCCUGAAUCUGGGAUGACUGUCCCCUUGAACUGCUCCGGUAUCUUAGCCAAUGGACAAUGUAUUGUUACUCCCCUCCUUAUCUAUUCGUGGUUUUUGCACACAUACCAUGAACUCAUAAGUGUUGAAGGAUCUCGACGUGUAAAAAUAUUUGUAAGAACAAGUUCAGUGACUAGAAAUUUGCUAGCUGGUUUGAAAUAAAGAGAUACACAUAAAACUAUAUUAUGAACUGGGAUCACCCAAAUUAUCUUCUGCAGGACAUUAUUCUACUAGAAAAUAUGGACAAAAUCAUAAGGACAAUUGUCAGUUUGAUGCUGACAAAAUUUUGUAAAAUUCCUUAUAUUAAAACCACUCUUCACUAUUAGCAGGAGACUACACAUGUUCUAAUGGUCUGAGAAAUACUGCAGUAAAUAAAUCUGGUUAAUUUUGUUUAAACCAAAUGUUUCUGAACAUUUUUGCAUUAUUUUUUAAGCCAUGGAAAUUUUUAUAUCACAAAAACUAUCAAUAUCUCAGGGUCUUAGUGCUCCUCAGAGGAAUUAUGAGGAAAUAUUUAACAAAGAUUGAGCUGUUCGCUACAGUUGGUUUAAGUGCAAUUGCAAUUAGGGAGAACAGCGAUCACUUCCGGCGUCUAAGGGAAGCAUUAAUAAGGAGUUUGAACUGGACUUGAAUGAUGUGAGUAUUUUGAUGCAUCAACAAAAUAAGAUAUUCUGGGCUGGGAGGGAAGUCAAGAGGCUUAACAGAAUAAAUACAGACGUGAAGGAGGAAAUGGUUCCGAGUUCAGGUGUGUUUAAGGGACAAUGAAAAAAAUCAAUAUGUCUGGAGAGGAGGGUUUUGAUUGAGUAAAAAUCAAUUUGGGAAGGCUGAUUAUAAAGACCCUUGCAUUUUGGAUUAGGUUCUAUGAAGAUUGAAGUAUGCAUUAAUUGCAUCCAGAGGGGAACAAAAAGGGAAUAUGUGUUUAGCAUUCUGAACAAACCAUUUUCUUACUUUUUUCAUUUUAUUUUAUUGUUUUUCUGUUUUUAAAUCUAACACAAGCACAUGGUCAAAACUCAUAACAUGAAAAAGAUAAACAAAAGAAAGUUAAAAUAACUGAUAAACGCAUGAACUAGGUAUAAUGAGUUGACAUAGGGAGUAUAUCCUUUGCCACUUUUUCCGAAGUGUACACAUGUUCACACACCCAUUUAAAAAAAUGUCAGCUUACACCAUGGCUGAAUAUGACAGUCACAGUGGCUGUAGACUAAGCUACUAAGGGGCAAGUAAAUAAAUAUAAAUGUGUAUAGUAAAGUAGAAUGCACAGAUGACAAAGAUGUAGUCUUUCACACAGACAACAUUACAAAUUAAAUAUGUGGAAUGUCCCUUGUUUCCACAAAGAAAUAUUCUUUCUUUUUGGACUACACCUCUUUUAUUUGAAUCAUACAGCUAUUCGGGUCCAUUUUUAAUCUUACCCAUCUUGAUAGAAACACAGAUAUUUACAAAAUAUAUUUUCAACUCUAAUAUUAGGGAAAAAAUGAUAAAUGC